GUGAACGCUGGCGGUAGGCCUAACACAUGCAAGUCGCACGGCAGCACAGUAAGAGCUUGCUCUUACGGGUGGCGAGUGGCGGACGGGUGAGGAAUACAUCGGAAUCUACUUUUUCGUGGGGGAUAACGUAGGGAAACUUACGCUAAUACCGCAUACGACCUACGGGUGAAAGCAGGGGAUCUUCGGACCUUGCGCGAUUGAAUGAGCCGAUGUCGGAUUAGCUAGUUGGCGGGGUAAAGGCCCACCAAGGCGACGAUCCGUAGCUGGUCUGAGGGGAUGAUCAGCCACACUGGAACUGAGACACGGUCCAGACUCCUACGGGAGGCAGCAGUGGGGAAUAUUGGACAAUGGGCGCAAGCCUGAUCCAGCCAUACCGCGUGGGUGAAGAAGGCCUUCGGGUUGUAAAGCCCUUUUGUUGGGAAAGAAAAGCAGCAGGUUAAUACCCCGCUGUUCUGACGGUACCCAAAGAAUAAGCACCGGCUAACUUCGUG
rnacentral:rRNA from 1 species